rnacentral:piRNA from 1 species
UUAAAAGAUGCUUUGAAUAAAAUU